AAAAAGCCUCUGCCAAAGAGGGCAGAGAAGAGGAACAAAAGAACCUUGUAACUAAUCAAGUAACUCAGUAACCCUGGAGUCUUCUCUACCUCUGGACUUAUCCUUAUGAGAUAACACAGGUUUUCAUUUAUUCCAGUUUAAAUUCUGGUUUCUGUUAAUUGGAGCCUAAAGCAUCCUAAUGACACAACUGGCUUCCAAGACUACAUCCAGCAAGACUUGACUGAUUUAUUCCUUGUGGAUUUCAAGUAUAACAGAAGGUCCAAAACUGAAGUAAAGUCAUCCAAGUAGGGCAGAUGAAGGGGUCAAAAUGGCUCAGACUUGUCACCAGGAUUUCUAAGUCAGAAGGUGUUGGAAAUCAGAGGCCAGGUGGUACAAAGACAGGAACAUUUGCAGGAAUGAAACCUGGGACUCAUAGCUAUGUGACCUGGCUGGUUUAAUUAGCUGAAGUUGGACCCUGUAACAGACAUAAAGAACAGGUGGCCCAGUUCUAUCAAGCUGAGGUCAUUUACAAGGAAGCAGAAAGGAAUUACCUGGCAAGAGCCAAGUUAAUUAAAGUCAUCUCCUAAGAAUUUCUUCUGGGCAGUUAAUUUUUUUGUCUAAAGGAAAAUUUUGAAAAUUAAUUAUUCCCACAAUGACCCUUAAUUAGGGAUUUAAAUUUAAUGUACUAAAAAUGUUAUGUUUCAUAUUUAAAACAUAACAGUUUUAGUAUACCUAAUAUCUCAAUGAACAGUCUAAGUAUACAUGUGAUUUAAGUUCUUAACAUAAUAUUCAAAUUUAUUAGAGGAGGUGGGGUAAGAGAGAGUUAGAGAAGAAAGAAAAAUGCUAAGAAAUUCUACAUCUCAGUCAUAGUUCUUGCCAUUAGUCAUUGUAAUUUUUAAAAAUUCAGUUUAUCUUUUCCAAUUGUUUGUAUCACAAAGAUUGGAAUAUCAUAAACUAUUGCAUUCUAUUCAAAAUCAGAAGUUUAUCUUUGAGUUCAUGGUCAAAGCAAAGAAAGUAAAAUAGGACCUAUAAAUAUUGAAAAGUAGGAGAAAGUACGUAAUUUCUGGUCAUAUUAUUACUUUGAGAAAAAUCAUUAUAUUAACUGAAAAACAAUAAUAAAAAAGAUUUCAGUAAGUUGAAACAAUAUAGCCAAUUUAAGAAUCUGGAUUACAAUUAGAAUCUGUAGGGAAGUAAUCUACCAAAUGGAUCAGAAUACUUUUAGGUCAGGUGAAAACUUACUUAAAAUAUGUGGAUUCUCCUUAGUUGAAAUUUUCAAUAUGUGGCAAGAUACCUCGUAAGGUAUGGCCGAAUAUGUAUUAUUAACCAUAUUAAUACUUUUUCUUAGCACAUAUGUACAUAAAUACUCUUUUAGUAACAAAUUACAUUAAAGUGAGAUUUCUUUUAUAUUUCUUACCACAUAAUGAUAGACCAGCAUAUAUCCUUGAGCGGGAUAAACUAUGAAACAAACAAACAAACAAAAACCUAGAAAUAACUUAUUAGUUCAGUUUGUCCUAUAGUAAACUGUUCUCUGCAUGAACAAGAUAGAGUGGAAACACUGUCAUCAUUGUAUUUUCUCAGGAUAAUGCCUCUGAUUCAAGGGGAUUUACAACAUCUUCAGGAAAAUUCUAUUUAUAACAUUCUAUAGUUUUAGGGGCUGUUUUUUGGUUGGUUUUUUUGUUUUUAGCCUUGCCCACAGCAUGUGAAAGUUCCCAGGGCUGGGAUGGAACCCGUGCCACAGCAGUGACAACACUGAAUCCUUAACCACUAGCCACCAGGGAACUCCAAUAUCUGUAGUUUUGCAACCAUCACAGGGUUUAGACUUUUAGUUUACAGAAGCAUCACUCAAAGACGUUAUACAGUAAGUGUCCUUUGCAGAUAAUAUACUGUCACCAGGAACACUCAAUUCAACAUCUUAAGAUGUUGUCUUUGCCAAAAUUUGCUCUUUAACAAAACAUACAGUCUCUAGGUCAUAAUACUAAGAGAAAUCAAGGGGAGUAACUUGAAUUAGAUUAACUUUGGAUUUUGAAUUCUGGUUCAUCUGAGGAAAUAAGGUGGUCAUCUUCCUAAAUCAUUAGGGAUUAACUUGUAAUGUUGAACAAUCACUUACACUUCACCCCAGCAAUUCUAAUUAUAGGUAUACUCCUUGAGGAAAUUUUAGCAUAUAGUCAAUAAGACAUGUCCAAGAAUCUUGAUAGCAUCAUUUUUCUUACCAGCAAAAAUGUAAAAUAUCCAGCCCUCAAAGUCCACUGAGAGGAGAAGAAAUAAAUAAGUUGUGGUUUACUUACACAACAGUAAAAUGAAUUAACUAUAGUUGCAUGUAAAAACUUUGCUGAAUCUUAGGAACAUAAUACUGAUUUUUAAAAAGCACAUUUCUGGAGAAUUCAUAUGGUAUACCCUAUUUUAUAAAGCUCAAAAUCAAAUCUAAACAGUAGUUUCUUUAGGCACACAUAUGUAAAAUUUCAGAAAAGUCAUUACCUCUGGUGGGGGAAACAAGGACUAAAUGAGGGGAGGCAUAAAAAAGCAGGUAAAUGUUAUCAGCAAUGAUCCAGAAUCUAAUUUGGAUUGUGGGUUGCGAUUAGUCAUUAUCUCAUGCUUUAUUUUGUAUAUAUUCUAGAAUAUAUCAAAUAUUAUAUUUAAAAGAAAAAUAAACAUGAUUUUUAAAUAUGAUCAAAAUUGACUAAAUACUCUGAUCUGAUAAAUAUUAUUCUCCUCUACUAUUUUUUUUUCUUUUUAUGGCCACACCUGCAGCACAUGGAAGUUCCCAGACCAAGAGUUGAAUCACAACUGCAGCUGCCAGCUUACCACAGCAACACCGGAUCUGAGCUGCAUCUGCAACCUAUGCGUGCAGCAACACCGGAUCUUUAACCCACUGAGCAAGAAAGGUCAGGGAUCAAAUCCACAUCCUCAUGGAUACUCUGUCAGGUUCUUAACCCACUGAGCCACAACAGGAACUCUGUCCUCUUCUAUUUUAAUUGUAAAAGGGGCCUUCUCUUUCACAUAUUCAUUUAUUUACCCUUCAUUUACUGAAGAAAUACAACAAAUCAAGCACUAUGCCAGUUACUAGGAAUUCAGAGGUCAAUAAAAUAGUAUCCUGUAGAACUUACAAUCUGGUGGAAGAAUUUUGACAACAUGAUGUAAUUGUGAAUGGGUAUGAUAAGUAAAAUGUAUAAAAAAUUUCUAGCACAUAGUAAGUACUUAAAGUUAUUAACUAUAAUUCUUAUUAUCACUAUUAUUAUUGUUAUUUGAGCUGGGGGGAAAAAAAAAGCUUGAGGACAGACACUGACCACUUGGUAUUAUUCAAGAGGUAUAUUUUCUUUCUUACUCACCCCAUGUGUACACAUGAAUGGAUGUUUCUGUUUCAUGUGGCGCCUCUGAGUAAGCAGAAUUUGAAAGGUAAGAGAACAAAGCAAACCAAAUACUAUUUAAUCUAAGCUCUACACCACACUGCCUGUUCUUUUAAUAUUUACUCUUUUUAUAAAUGUUUGCCCUCCACUUUAGUUUAAUAAUUCUAAGAAUGCAGUUUCCUCACAGAGUUGUUCUUAUCUGUAGAAAAUCAAAACUAAGAAUAGUUUAUGGACCAACUAGGAGGACUGAAAAACAAUACAUAAUAUAAGACACUUUUUAUUCUGCCUAAUGAAUCAAAUGGCUUU
rnacentral:lncRNA from 1 species